AGGGUUCGAUUCUGGCUCAGGAUGAACGCUGGCGGCGUGCUUAACACAUGCAAGUCGAACGGGAUCCAUCAGGCUUUGCUUGGUGGUGAGAGUGGCGAACGGGUGAGUAAUGCGUGACCGACCUGCCCCAUACACCGGAAUAGCUCCUGGAAACGGGUGGUAAUGCCGGAUGCUCCGACUCCUCGCAUGGGGUGUCGGGAAAGAUUUCAUCGGUAUGGGAUGGGGUCGCGUCCUAUCAGGUAGUCGGCGGGGUAACGGCCCACCGAGCCUACGACGGGUAGCCGGCCUGAGAGGGCGACCGGCCACAUUGGGACUGAGAUACGGCCCAGACUCCUACGGGAGGCAGCAGUGGGGAAUAUUGCACAAUGGGCGCAAGCCUGAUGCAGCGACGCCGCGUGCGGGAUGACGGCCUUCGGGUUGUAAACCGCUUUUGAUCGGGAGCAAGCCUUCGGGUGAGUGUACCUUUCGAAUAAGCACCGGCUAACUACGUGCCAGCAGCCGCGGUAAUACGUAGGGUGCAAGCGUUAUCCGGAAUUAUUGGGCGUAAAGGGCUCGUAGGCGGUUCGUCGCGUCCGGUGUGAAAGUCCAUCGCUUAACGGUGGAUCUGCGCCGGGUACGGGCGGGCUGGAGUGCGGUAGGGGAGACUGGAAUUCCCGGUGUAACGGUGGAAUGUGUAGAUAUCGGGAAGAACACCAAUGGCGAAGGCAGGUCUCUGGGCCGUUACUGACGCUGAGGAGCGAAAGCGUGGGGAGCGAACAGGAUUAGAUACCCUGGUAGUCCACGCCGUAAACGGUGGAUGCUGGAUGUGGGGCCCGUUCCACGGGUUCCGUGUCGGAGCUAACGCGUUAAGCAUCCCGCCUGGGGAGUACGGCCGCAAGGCUAAAACUCAAAGAAAUUGACGGGGGCCCGCACAAGCG
rnacentral:rRNA from 1 species